UACGGAGGGUGCGAGCGUUGUCCGGAAUCAUUGGGCGUAAAGGGCGCGUAGGUGGCCCGGUCAGUUCGUGGUGAAAGCGCGGGGCUCAACCCUGCGUCGGCCAUGAAUACUGCCGCGGCUGGAGCACUGUAGAGGCAGGCGGAAUUCCGGGUGUAGCGGUGGAAUGCGUAGAGUAUGUGGAGGAACACCAGUGGCGAAGGCGACUCUCUGGGCCUUUCCUGACGCUGAGGUGCGAAAGCGUGGGGAGCGAACCGG
rnacentral:rRNA from 1 species